rnacentral:tRNA from 1 species
AGUGUUGCUCAGUGGUAGAGCACCUGUCUGGUAUGUUGGAGGCUGUGGAUUCAACCCACAAAACUA